rnacentral:lncRNA from 1 species
GGGGAAAGGGUUUAUUUAGCUCACAGUUUGUAGAGGAUUCAGUCCAUAAUUGGCUGGCUUCAAGGCAGAGUAGAUGGCAAACGGGCAUCGGAGAAGAGAAACAACAUGGCAUGAACAAGGUAGCAAAAGCAACAAGGGAAACAGUUCAUGGCAGUGGAAGACAGCAAAAAGCAGCAAGGGGUGCCACUGCCUUUUUGUACACCUCUAAGUGAGCAUGCCGUGUGCCCUGGACAUCUCUGUGUGGACCUCUGGUCCCAUCUCUUAGAGUACUUGGAGCACAUCUAUGUACUUGGUUGGUGCAUAUUUCUGCCUGUACCUCAGAGUCACUCUCCUGCCAGCCCAGUCCCGCUCAUCUGGCCCCAGGACAUACCUCUGCCUUAAUUUCUGGAGGAGAUACAAUUUCUUGAUGACCUUUUUACCAAGAUGGUGCCAUAGAUGAAGAAGGAAGCUCCUGCCCCUCCCAAAGCUGAAGCCAAAGCUUUGAAAGCCAAGAAGGCAGUGCUGAAAGGCUUCCACAGCCACAAAAAGAAGAAGAUGUGCACAUCACCCACCCUUUGCUGUCCAGGGAUACUGGGGCCCGAGGCAGCUCAAAUACCCUCAGAAGAGCACCCCUAGGAGGAACAAGCUUGACCACUAUGCCAUCAUUAAGUUCCCCCUGACCACGGAGUCAGCUAUGAAGAAGACAGAGGACAACAACACACUUGUGUUCAUUGUGGAUGUCAAGGUCAGCAAGCAACAGAUCAAACAAACUGUGAAGAUUUUAUCAUAAUAAUAAUAAAAACAGUUAUCUUGAUGAACUUGAUUUGAAGGAGGGGACAGCACAGUGGAGCCUUCAAGAGUGUGAGGCCCCUCCUUGUCCAGGGGACCACAGUUUGGGAUGUAUUUUGCCCCAAGCCAUCGGGGAUGAGGCUCUUCUCAGUCCCCUUGUCUUCAAAUUCAUCUGCAUUAAACUUGGUGAAGAUCCUCUACUUUGAGAUAUGGAUCUUCUGGUGGCCAGGGAACUUGAACUUAGCCCUGCACAGGACCUCAAUCACAUGCUCCUUGUUUUGCAGUUUGGUGCAGACAGACAUGAUGACUUAUCCAAUGUGAAUCCUUGCCACUGUGCCCUGGGGCUUCCCAAAGGCACCCCAUGUACCUGUCUGGAGCCUACACUGGUGACAGCAUGAGGUCAGAGGGAUAGUCAGAAGAAAGCUUUAGAAGACGUGGAAACUUCUAACGGGGUCAGUUGUGGAAGACCCCAUAGUUGGUGGGACAGACAAAGCCCU